GUAAAAAAACUGCCUAAUGUAUAAAAUACAGCGGAGGAUUAACCUAUGGGGUGAAUCCAAAUUUUUGGUAGGGAUUCUCUCUUCCCGAACCCGUCAACUAACUUCGCAGGCAUUAAGAGAGGUGUA
rnacentral:sRNA from 2 species